AUGGCAUCCCAAGCCGUCGAGAGCCACCGUGCCGGCGCGGAGGUAUUCCACGGCGACGACGCCAUGUGCAAGAAGAAGUCGGUGGAGGUGCUGGAGGAGCUGGGCCUCCCGACGGGCCUGCUGCCCCUGGAGGACAUGGAGGAGUUCGGGUACAACCGCGCGGCCGGCUUCAUGUGGCUCGUGCAGAGGAAGAAGACGGAGCACACGUUCAAGAAGGUGAAGCAGACCGUGUCGUACGCCGGCGAGGUGACGGCCUUCGUCGAGCCGGGAAAGCUGAGGAAGAUCACCGGCGUGAAGACCAAGGAGCUGUUUCUGUGGCUCAGCGUGGUGGAGGUGUAUGUUGUUGAGGGCCUGGCCCCUGGCAAGGUCACCUUCAAGACCGGCACUGGUCUCUCCGACACCUUUGAUGCAGCUGCUUUUGCCCUUGGAGAAUGA
rnacentral:rRNA from 1 species